rnacentral:rRNA from 1 species
ACUCAAAUGAAUUGACGGGGAGGCGCACAAGCAGUGGAGCAUGUGGUUUAAUUCGAUAUGAAGCGAAAAACCUCACCUGGGUUUGACAUGUAUCUGCAAGCGCACGGAAACGUGUGAUCUUCGAGAGUGAUACACAGAUGCUGCAUGGCUGUCGUCAGCUCGUGGCGUGAGCUGUACCCUUAAGUGGGACAACGAGCGCAACCCGCAUCAUAUGUUAAAUAAUUCAUAUGAAACUGCCCCGAUUAUAUCGGGGAGGAAGGCGCGGAUGAUGUCAAGUCCGCACGGCUCUUACACCCAGGGCUACACACAUCCUACAAUGGCGAAUAACAACGAGCUGCAAGCGGGCAACCGCAAGCUAAUCUCUAAAAUUUCGCCUCAGUUCAGAUUGGGGGCUGCAACUUGCCCCCAUGAAGCCGGAAUUGCUAGUAAUCGCGAAUCAGCAGGUCGCGGUGAAUACGUUCUCGCCUCUUGUACACACCGCCCGU